rnacentral:rRNA from 1 species
GCUGACGGCCACAUCACGUUGAAAGCACGACAUCUCCGAUCUGUCAAGUUCAGCAACGUUGAGCCUGGUUAGUGCUUGGAUCGGAGACGGUUUGGGAAUCGCAGGUGUUGUAAACA